rnacentral:rRNA from 1 species
GAUGAACGCUAGCUCCAGACUUAACACAUGCAAGUCGAGGGACCGGCGCACGGGUGAGUAACACGUAUCCAACCUGCCCUUUACUCGGGGAUAGCCUUUCGAAAGAUAGAUUAAUACCCGAUAUAAAGGAUGGGGAGGCGUUCCAUUAGUGUGUUGGUGAGGUAACGGCCAACCAAGCCUUCGAUGGAUAGGGGUUAUGAGAGGAAGGUCCCCCACAUUGGAACUGAGACACGGUCCAAACUCCGACGGGAGGCAGCAGUGAGGAAUAUUGGUCAAGGGGCGGUAGCCUGAACCCGCCAAGUAGCGUGAAGGAUGAAGGCUUAUGGGUCGUAAACUUCUUGUAUAUAAGAAUAUGUAUUAUAUGAAUAAGGAUCGGCUAACUCCGUGCCAGCAGCCGCGGUAAUAC